UUGAAUUUGUUUAUCCGGGGAGAGAGUCGGACGUGGGAGACGCACGAAAUACCCACUCAACUGAGAAUUGCCUCCUUCACCGGUAAUAACCAACCAGAAAACUCACGAUCUUAACACGAACGUGGGAAGUUAUCGGCGCUCAAUGGGCUCACCACGAUUUACCAGCUAUAAAAGAGGCAAGAUGGAUGAUCAACCCAGAACAAGGAAAAAGAAGAGAAUCAAAUUCCUGCAAUUUCAAUUUGGAUUUCGAUUUGGUUCGGAAGAGCACUCAACUGAAUCGUGUUUAGAAGGAUUGGUGAGAAUCAGUGAGCAAUUAAGGUAUCAAAUUUGGUCGUUACAAAAAAAAAAAAAAAGCUAGAUGUGCAAUACCUUCAUGUUAAUGCAGCUAUUGAUUCCAGCAUAGGCCUUAACCCAGCCCCUCUUUUAGAGUUAUCAGCAACAAUUGGAAGUAAGGAUCUUAGGAAGGUUGAUGAAAUUGGAAUUCAAGUCCUUAUUAGAUUAACAGGACGGGUGAGCAAUUAAGGAAGAAUUGAUUGAAGCUGUGAGGAAUUGAGGAGCAUAUUGAACAAAGCUUUAAGAUUACUAGGAACAGUCAGAUGGCAUGCAAACUGUGUUCUUUUUAUUGCUCAAAGUUAAUCAUUCAAGGCCAGAUCUCUCUGUGUCUUCUACCUCAUUCAUGUUGUUGGCUUUUUCUAAUCUUAAUUUCUAAUAUUGUUUACCGGUCAAAAUUGAUUAUAGAGGGUUGUUAUUUGUUUCCUUUACUUUUGUUUCUAAUACUGAAACUGUGAAGAUUCUUAACAAACAAAAUGAGUAAAGUUGAGAGUUCAUAGGCAACGGUGAAGCAAACCACUGAAUUGCUUCGCUCGGUGCGCGUAUACCCUACACAAAUCAAGUUGGGGCUUUGAUUGAUGUUGCAAAGGUAGCUGGGGAGUAGCUGAUUGCUGCAAAUCUGUGGGUAAGGACAUUUAAAAUCAUAAACUUUAUUGACGAAAUAAAGAAGAAUACAUCUACAAGUUUUAAGAGUUGUGAAGACUAUUGACAAACAAAGUGAGGUGGUUUGCUUCCAAAAAAAAGGACUGGUCUCAAGACAUAGUUGCUGAAUUAUGGUAUGCUUCCAGUGAAGUACGCAUUGGUUAAAUGGCUUCUUCGUCACGGUCUCUUCAGCUGCCACUUAAUGGAGAUCAGGGAAACACAAUGCUACAUGCAUUAGAGGCAGAAAGGCAUCGUAGGAAUGCCCGACAAAGAGAAAGGCGACGGUCAUUAAAUUCCUCACAACGAGCUGAGUGUUCAGCCCGAAGACGCGCCAAUUAUCAAAUGCGGCGAACUAUGGAAAAUAUAAGUAACAAUGGAAAUCAAGUGGAAGCAAGGGAGGGAAGUAGUCUCGAUCCUAUUCAUCCAAACAAUAGGCCACGUAGUAAUGUUACUGCGCAAGCACGUGGUAGAGGUCGCGGACGCAGGCACGGGCGCGGAACUCAUAAUUGUGCUAGAAAUUUUAAUGAGGCCAUCGGAGUCACAAAAUUUCAGUUGCCAGCAUCGACGACAUGUCCACAUUGUCAUGCCUGUUUAUUCUAUCACGAAAGUAGAGACAUGUGUUGCUCCAAUGGAAAGAUUGUCUUGCCUCCCAUACAUUCUCCUCCAGAUAUGAUAGAGCUA